rnacentral:lncRNA from 1 species
CUCCGUGUCAUUAGUGCACCUGAUUUACUGCAGUCCCUGCUUCAACUCAGGCCACAACUGGGUUGGUUAGAAACGAACAGCUUUCAAACCUGGGCUACCCAGGCAAUGUCCCUGAAAAAAUGUCAUACAUAGAGAGCUGCUUCUCCUGGACCUGGUCUCCACAAUGAGGAUGACUGGGUGGCUGGUCAAGAAUGAAAUUCACACCAGGGCGAGAUUCAGAAUCACAAGAGGGCUGGCAACGUGUCUGUCUGUCCACUGAGUGCUUGUUUCCCUUGUGAGAUGUGAGUACAUUCCACAGCAAGCAUGGGAAAGAAGCAGCAGGCCUGCUGAGGCUUGCUACCAAGCACUUGGACAUAGUAACAAAGGGCUGCCUGGCAAGGAGCCGCAGCACUAGGAGCAGAGAGAAGAUGCACACAGUCGCUAGCAGCCAGGACCCAGACACCAGGACCAUGGCAAGUGGCAACCCAAGAAAGAGCAGAAUGGUUCGGGGCAGCGUCAGCACGUGGCCGAAGGUGGCGGGAAUGUGCUCCUCCAUGCCCCUUGUGAUCAAAUCCAGUACCUUUUGUGGUCGCUGUCCUGGUACUGGCGGAUGUGAUAAGGAGCCAUGGGAGACUGCUGGGUGUCAAGUCUCGGCAUCUGGGAGAGAUGGCUCUACCUGCCUGCACACCUUCCCUGAGCCCUGCAGAAGAGAAAAGCAUGUCUUAGUGUUUGUCCCCGAUUCCCAGCCUGGUUGCCUGAAUGCACCUGCUAAAGACAGUGGUUCUCAACCUACAAAGGAAUGCUUCAGAAAUUCCCACUGCAAGUCACAGCUGCUCCUGCUACACAGGGAGUGCUCUGAGGUACAUACAUCUUUUUUUUUACUUCUCAAAAAAGACUUUUAUUUUUAAAAAUUUUAGAUUUAUAGAAGUAUUAUGAAGACAGAAAAGGGCCUUUUAGUUUAUUUGUACUUGAACACCUCAGAAUUUUCUACAUAUGGAAUUAUAUCAUAUGCAAAUAAUGAGAGUGUUAAUUAUGUUUUCAAAAUCUUAUUUCUGUAGUAACUGCACCACACUACUGUCUCAUCAGUGACACUUGUCAUUUGUUUCUUGGUGAUAAUCCU